rnacentral:misc_RNA from 1 species
AGACGGCUCCAAAAUGGCUGGCAUGUUGACGCAAGGACGACGCGUCGUGCCACAGAUAUUUCGGAAUUUUUCUGGUUAUAGUGUCAUUUGCCGUGGAAUUAAGAAUACAAGACAAGUACACAAUGUGUUAGGUGCGGGCCAGAAAACUGACUUUCCUUUAGCUGAGUAUCAGAAAACAAAGGCAUGGUCGAGAAAUUUUCAUGUGGCUUCAGUACUCUAUCAAGAAAUAAAGGAGGUGAAAUGUCCAGGAUUUUCAGAGUCCAUUUCAGAGGGAGAUGUCAGGUGGGAGAAAGCUGUGGGUGACUUUGUACAAGAAGAUGAACCACUAGGAGAAGUAGAAACAGACAAGACUGGUGUCCCUGUCCUCAGUCCAUACACCGGGGUGAUUGUGGAACUUCUGGUAGAGGAUGGAGCCACUGUUAAAGCUCACCAGCCACUGAUGAAAAUUGAUGUGUCAGCCAAAGGUGAUGCACCUGCUAAAAAAGCACCUGCCAGUGAGAAGCCUCCUCCUGCCGCAGAACCUCCAAAAGAGCCAGCCAAACCAGCAGAAGCAGCCCAGAGCAGCUCCAGUGGGCCCAUUCCAACCACCCCUCCCCCUCCCCCGCCUGUACCCAAGGAACCCAUGUCCUCCUAUCCUACCUCCAGUGUUAAGGUCACACCCUUUGAAGGAUCCACUAGUCAGGGUGGUGCACGGACAGAAACCAGGACAAAGAUAACAAGAAUACGACAGAAGACAGCACAAAGGUUAAAGGAAUCUCAGAACACAUGCGCUGCCUUAACCACCUUCCAGGAAUGUGAUAUGAGCAAUCUCAUGGAGUGGAGAAAAACAUACAAAGAUCAGUUUGAAAAGAAACAUGGAGUGAAGUUAGGAAUGAUGUCUCCAUUCAUCAAAGCUGCAGCGUUUGCCUUGAAAAAUCAGCCAGCAGUGAAUGCUGUGAUUGAUGGAAAUGAGAUCGUUUACAGAGACUAUGUAGACAUCUCAGUGGCCGUGGCCGCUCCUAAGGUACUCUCUCUAAUACACAGGUAAUCCAGCUACAUAGCCAACUGAUGAUACUGUAAUGUUGAGUUGUAGGUCCUUUUAGAAAUCCAAAGUAGAGUAUGAAUUUAUUCAGAAUACAUAAGUUAAUGUAAAAUGUCUGUGUAAAAGAUUCAGAAAGGGAGACAAUUUAUACUGGUAUAUUUCCUUGAAGGUGGUGAUGUAGUUAAAACUUUUUGCUUCUUUUGUGAUGAUUGGAAUCCAUUUCAUAUGAUUUUAUGUAUAAACAAAGACCAAGAAAAUGCUAAAUAAUUUGAUUUGAUUUACAAUAUCCAUUGGUUGCAUGUAAUUUUCCUUUAAAUGUUCAUAUUGUUAUUAACUGUGAUAGGGCCUUGUUGUACCAGUCAUCAGGAAUGUGGAGACACUGAGUUACGCUGAGGUAGAGAAGGCCAUUCUAGAAUACGGAGAAAAGGCAAAGAAGAACAUGUUGGCUAUAGAGGAUAUGGAAGGUGGGACGUUUUCCAUCAGCAAUGGUGGCGUAUUUGGAUCUCUGUUUGGAACCCCCAUAAUUAACCAACCCCAGAGUGCUAUAUUAGGAAUACAUACCAUAAAGAAAAGACCAGUAGUUGUGAAUGAUCAGAUUGUGAUUCGACCUAUUAUGAUUCUAGCCUUGACGUAUGACCAUAGACUUAUCGAUGGCCGUGAGGCUGUGACUUUCUUAAUGGACAUCAAACGAGCAAUAGAGGACCCCAGGGUAAUGCUCCUGGAUGUAUAAGCACAGACACAAAAAUAUAGUGCAUACAGAGUUUUAUAUCAAAUUUGUAUAAUUUUUUCUUCUGUCUGAAACAACACCAUCUUUUAAUUUAGUAUACAUGUACUUAACUGGAUGGAAUUUUUGAUUGAGUGCCAUUGCAACUGUAUGUGCUAUUAUGUAUAUUACCUCAAUGCUGUUUAGAUCUGGGGGUUUCCCUUAUACAAGUUAACUCACAGAAGUAAGAUUUUCUUUAAUAAGGCAUUUACUAUGUUUGUUAUUCUGUUUGUAAAAUUAGGUGCAAUGAAUUAAAGCAUUGAGAGAAAAAAAUUCUUGAAAAGGCAUAAUUGCUGUAUUAUUUAUUCUAGUGAUUGCUUUAAAAGAAAUACAUGUACUGAUAUUGAAAAUAAAUUUUUCAUGAU